CAUUCUGAAUGCAUUUACUUUGAUAUUAUUGAUAGUGGGAGGAGAUGUUAUUCCUUAAGACUUAACAUUUCAGUCUCUGUUGAAGGUAAUUCAGUUAGCUUUCACGGGUUUGAAGAGGUGCUUGAGGACUGGACAAAGACUGCUUACAGACCCCUCUGCUUACAGAGGUCUCUGGAACACAAAGUCAGUUUGUUUUCAGUUUAGAAGAGGAGCAUUGCAAGGAAAAUGGGAUCAUCUCACUCAAAGAGCAAGUCUAAAUCACAUCAUAGAUCGCAUGAAUCAUCCACGUCAAUUUCCAGGCAUGAGCUUGACCCUGUGGAACAUGCUGGCAUUCCUGCUUAUUCGGUGAGCAAUGCAUUGGUUCUGUCACAUAGUAACAACAGCAUCCAGAGGUCUAUGAAUGUACCAAGAAAUGGGGCAAUGACUCGACAUUACAACAACUUUGAUCAAGGUCUUGAAACAUAUCAACGUAUAGUCCUGAAGAACGGCCGGCCUGUUGAAACUGAAGAAUUCAGGAUUUAUUCAACUGAUUAAAGCCUACUUGAUACUAUGUCAUGUCAUCACAUCUAUUUAGAUAUGUAAUUGCUUAUGUAAUGAAAAUAUGUGUACUAGUUAUGGCAUCCAGCCAGCAUCCAGAGGUCUAUGGAUAUACAAAGAAAUGAGACUGAAGAAUUAAAGUUUAAAUAGACUGAUUAAAGGCUGCUUAAAAAUAGAGAAAAUAUUUUUAAUAUAUAUAUAUAGUUUUUUUCACAGCCCUAAAUGAGGGUCGAUAAGAUAUCUGCUGUGUACUCUUACUUCUCAGUUAUUUCUUUUGUCAGUAAACUGAUUUGGAAGUUCAUAAUGUGUACUUUUAGAAAAAAAAUGCAAUUUAGCAUAUUAUUAUUAUUAAUUACUAGCCAAAAUAGAAUGAAAUAUAUAGCCUACUAGCCUGUUAAAUUCCCAUAAAAUUCCUGUAAAUUGCAUUAGUUACUUUUAAUGAAAAGUAAUGUGUUACAUUACUUUUGUGUUACUUUUUCUCCCCUGGGCUGGGCCUGCUUGUUUGUUUUUAAUAACAACAAAAACUUUAUGUUUUUGGCAAAUGUACAGGCACUUUCACACAAAAAGUGAAAUGAAUAAGCUUCAGGCUGAUCAGAAAUGUGAUGUUUAUCUAUAGUCAUUUUUGCUUAGUAUGUUUGAAUUGGAUCAUCAAAGAUCAGCAGCAAGACCUUGGUUAAUAA